rnacentral:rRNA from 1 species
UUAAGCGACUAAGCGUACACGGUGGAUGCCCUGGCAGUCAGAGGCGAUGAAGGGCGUGCUAAUCUGCGAUAAGCGCCGGUAAGGUGAUAUGAACCGUUAUAACCGGCGAUACCCGAAUGGGGAAACCCAGUGUGACUCGUCACACUAUCAUUAACUGAAUCCAUAGGUUAAUGAGGCGAACCGGGGGAACUGAAACAUCUAAGUACCCCGAGGAAAAGAAAUCAACCGAGAUUCCCCCAGUAGCGGCGAGCGAACGGGGAGGAGCCCAGAGCCUGAAUCAGCAUGUGUGUUAGUGGAAGCGUCUGGAAAGGCGCGCGAUACAGGGUGACAGCCCCGUACACAAAAGCGCAUGUGCUGUGAGCUCGAUGAGUAGGGCGGGACACGUGGUAUCCUGUCUGAAUAUGGGGGGACCAUCCUCCAAGGCUAAAUACUCCUGACUGACCGAUAGUGAACCAGUACCGUGAGGGAAAGGCGAAAAGAACCCCGGCGAGGGGAGUGAAAAAGAACCUGAAACCGUGUACGUACAAGCAGUGGGAGCCCCACCACUAAGCCAGUGGUGAACUCCACAUACGCAUCCUUUGCUGAGGAUACGGUUAACGGAGCGAAAGCGACGUUCAACCGCAAAAGAAGCAGAGGGGGCUUAGUGGUGGGGUGACUGCGUACCUUUUGUAUAAUGGGUCAGCGACUUAUAUUCUGUAGCAAGGUUAACCGUAUAGGGGAGCCGUAGGGAAACCGAGUCUUAACCGGGCGUUAAGUUGCAGGGUAUAGACCCGAAACCCGGUGAUCUAGCCAUGGGCAGGUUGAAGGUUGGGUAACACUAACUGGAGGACCGAACCGACUAAUGUUGAAAAAUUAGCGGAUGACCUGUGGCUGGGGGUGAAAGGCCAAUCAAACCGGGAGAUAGCUGGUUCUCCCCGAAAGCUAUUUAGGUAGCGCCUCGUGAAUUCAUCUCCGGGGGUAGAGCACUGUUUCGGCUAGGGGGCCAUCCCGGCUUACCAACCCGAUGCAAACUGCGAAUACCGGAGAAUGUUAUCACGGGAGACACACGGCGGGUGCUAACGUCCGUCGUGAAGAGGGAAACAACCCAGACCGCCAGCUAAGGUCCCAAAGUCAUGGUUAAGUGGGAAACGAUGUGGGAAGGCCCAGACAGCCAGGAUGUUGGCUUAGAAGCAGCCAUCAUUUAAAGAAAGCGUAAUAGCUCACUGGUCGAGUCGGCCUGCGCGGAAGAUGUAACGGGGCUAAACCAUGCACCGAAGCUGCGGCAGCGAACGUAUCACUUAAAGCGAUUCAGCGGGUUACGAUUGACGGAGCGAAGCGACGUCAAAGCGUAUACAAAGUCGAGUCGGUUUAAGGAUACGUUCGUUGGGUAGGGGAGCGUUCUGUAAGCCUGCGAAGGUGGCCUGUGAGGGUUGCUGGAGGUAUCAGAAGUGCGAAUGCUGACAUAAGUAACGAUAAAGCGGGUGAAAAGCCCGCUCGCCGGAAGACCAAGGGUUCCUGUCCAACGUUAAUCGGGGCAGGGUGAGUCGACCCCUAAGGCGAGGCCGAAAGGCGUAGUCGAUGGGAAACGGGUUAAUAUUCCCGUACUUGGUGUUACUGCGAAGGGGGGACGGAGAAGGCUAUGUUGGCCGGGCGACGGUUGUCCCGGUUUAAGCGUGUAGGUGUGUGUUCCAGGUAAAUCCGGUUCACUUUAACACUGAGGCGUGACGACGAGGCACUACGGUGCUGAAGCAACAAAUGCCCUGCUUCCAGGAAAAGCCUCUAAGCAUCAGGUAACACGAAAUCGUACCCCAAACCGACACAGGUGGUCAGGUAGAGAAUACCAAGGCGCUUGAGAGAACUCGGGUGAAGGAACUAGGCAAAAUGGUGCCGUAACUUCGGGAGAAGGCACGCUGACACGUAGGUGAAGUGAUUUACUCAUGGAGCUGAAGUCAGUCGAAGAUACCAGCUGGCUGCAACUGUUUAUUAAAAACACAGCACUGUGCAAACACGAAAGUGGACGUAUACGGUGUGACGCCUGCCCGGUGCCGGAAGGUUAAUUGAUGGGGUCAGCGCAAGCGAAGCUCCUGAUCGAAGCCCCGGUAAACGGCGGCCGUAACUAUAACGGUCCUAAGGUAGCGAAAUUCCUUGUCGGGUAAGUUCCGACCUGCACGAAUGGCGUAAUGAUGGCCAGGCUGUCUCCACCCGAGACUCAGUGAAAUUGAACUCGCUGUGAAGAUGCAGUGUACCCGCGGCAAGACGGAAAGACCCCGUGAACCUUUACUAUAGCUUGACACUGAACAUUGAGCCUUGAUGUGUAGGAUAGGUGGGAGGCUUUGAAGUGUGGACGCCAGUCUGCGUGGAGCCGACCUUGAAAUACCACCCUUUAAUGUUUGAUGUUCUAACGUGGACCCGUUACCCGGGUUGCGGACAGUGUCUGGUGGGUAGUUUGACUGGGGCGGUCUCCUCCUAAAGAGUAACGGAGGAGCACGAAGGUUGGCUAAUCCUGGUCGGACAUCAGGAGGUUAGUGCAAUGGCAUAAGCCAGCUUGACUGCGAGCGUGACGGCGCGAGCAGGUGCGAAAGCAGGUCAUAGUGAUCCGGUGGUUCUGAAUGGAAGGGCCAUCGCUCAACGGAUAAAAGGUACUCCGGGGAUAACAGGCUGAUACCGCCCAAGAGUUCAUAUCGACGGCGGUGUUUGGCACCUCGAUGUCGGCUCAUCACAUCCUGGGGCUGAAGUAGGUCCCAAGGGUAUGGCUGUUCGCCAUUUAAAGUGGUACGCGAGCUGGGUUUAGAACGUCGUGAGACAGUUCGGUCCCUAUCUGCCGUGGGCGCUGGAGAACUGAGGGGGGCUGCUCCUAGUACGAGAGGACCGGAGUGGACGCAUCACUGGUGUUCGGGUUGUCAUGCCAAUGGCACUGCCCGGUAGCUAAAUGCGGAAGAGAUAAGUGCUGAAAGCAUCUAAGCACGAAACUUGCCCCGAGAUGAGUUCUCCCUGAGACUUAGAGUCUCCUGAAGGAACGUUGAAGACGACGACGUUGAUAGGCCGGGUGUGUAAGCGCAGCGAUGCGUUGAGCUAACCGGUACUAAUGAACCGUGAGGCUUAACCUU